UACAGAGGUCCCAAGUGUUGUUCGGAUUUACUGGGCGUAAAGGGUGCGUAGGCGGUCGGGUAAGUCUGACGUGAAAUCUCCGGGCCUAACCCGGAAACUGCGUUGGAUACUACCUGACUAGAGGAAUGGAGGGGAGACUGGAAUACUUGGUGUAGCAGUGAAAUGCGUAGAUAUCAAGUGGAACACCAGUGGCGAAGGCGAGUCUCUGGACAUUUCCUGACGCUGAGGCACGAAAGCCAGGGGAGCAAACGGG
rnacentral:rRNA from 1 species